GACGUAGGGCGCGAGCGUUGUCCGGAUUUAUUGGGCGUAAAGAGCGUGUAGGCGGCCCGGUAAGUCCGCUGUGAAAGUCGGGGGCUCAACCCUCGGAUGCCGGUGGAUACUGUCGGGCUUGAGUACGGAAGAGGCGAGUGGAAUUCCUGGUGUAGCGGUGAAAUGCGCAGAUAUCAGGAGGAACACCGAUUGCGAAGGCAGCUCGCUGGGACGUUACUGACGCUGAGACGCGAAAGCGUGGGGAGCAAACAGG
rnacentral:rRNA from 1 species